rnacentral:rRNA from 1 species
UACGGAGGGGGCUAGCGUUGUCCGGAAUUAUUGGGCGUAAAGCGCGCGUAGGCGGGAUAUUAAGUCUAUUCUAAAAGUGCGGGGCUCAACCCCGUGAUGGGAUGGAAACUAAUAUUCUUGAGUACCGGAGAGGAAGCGGAAUUCCCAGUGUAGCGGUGGAAAUGACGUAGAUAUUGGGAGGAACACCAGUGGCGAAGGCGGCUUUCUGGACGGUGUCUGACGCUGAGGCGCGGAAAGCCAGGGGAGCGGAACGGGG